GAUGAAGAACGCAGCGAAAUGCGAUACGUAAUGUGAAUUGCAGAAUUCAGUGAAUCAUCGAGUCUUUGAACGCACAUUGCGCCCCCUGGUAUUCCGGGGGGCAUGCCUGUCCGAGCGUCAUUGCUGCCCUCAAGCACGGCUUGUGUGUUGGGCCUCCGUCCUCCUCCCGGGGGACGGGCCCGAAAGGCAGCGGCGGCACCGCGUCCGGUCCUCGAGCGUAUGGGGCUUCGUCACCCGCUCUUGUAGGCCCGGCCGGCGCUUGCCGACACAUCAAUCUUUUUUCCAGGUUGACCUCGGAUCAGGUAGGAAGACCCGCUGAACUUAAGCAUAUCAUAAGCGGAGGA
rnacentral:misc_RNA from 1 species